GUGGUCAGUGCGGCUGACGCGCUGGGCGUCUUGUCAGCUCAGCUGCGUUCACUGAAGGGGCUGUUCUGGUCUCCGUUUGCCCGAGUUAAGAGGUAAACUGGGAAGAAGAGCUUAAGGAAAAUGUGGAAGGAAGGUCGGUUAACGCAUUCCGGUGCGGAGCACAACCGAGACUUGGAGGGUGACAUGAACAACUAGGACACAGGCCUGCCAGGCUGUGGACGGCGCAGAUAGGAUUAACAGCCAAAAAAGAGAAGUGACUAACUCUGAGGUCCAUGGGCCAGAGGCAGUCAUGUGGCCCCACUGACUACAAAGGCUGGGAAGUAUACUCAGAAG